GGCAAACCUGAAGCAUGGGGAAACAUCUCAUGUUUGAUAUUUCUUCUAUCUCACUGGAGGUGCUGUUUCCAGAAUACACAGACAAUUUCACAAAAGUGCCACCAGCUUUGCUACUUCCCUGCAGUCCUGUUGCACUCUUUGAAGCACGCAGGUUUAUGAAUGCAGCCUCUGACUCGGGAAGAUUCCUGUCAGUUUGAAGCCCUGACAGUGCCAUUAAAAAAUUGACAAGACACGCGAUGAACUGCCGGAGAAACAGCUUGAAGUAGACAAUGAGAAGUUUCUUUGGGGCAUUUUCACAAGCAGAUCAGGAAUCCAGAACUUACCUGAGCUAACUGGAGGUGCGUGGCCACAACUGCUGUGCAGGCACCGAAUCGCAGCCGGUGGGUUGGCUCAGCACUUUGAAAUUCAGCAUCACUGGUGCUGGCCUCGGGAACAUGCCCACUGCCAUUCUUGCAACUCGGAGAAGUCCUGUGCUGCCCAAAUGUUCGCUGUGGAGGUUGUCGUGCGUUGGUCCUGUGCUAGCAGUACAGAGUCACUUACAAGAGGGUAGCACGCUGGAACUGAAAGUAGCAGAGGCGGAGGCACCAGUCUCAUUCAUAACUGUGCCUGGCUGUGUGACUAGUGUGAUACAGUGUGUAAAGCUGAAGCAAUUCCUUUCAUCAACGAUGAACCUAAAACGCUGGCCAUGCACAUUUCGUGGUGUGGACUGCCUUCCACUUGUGAUCUGCUGUAAUUCCUCUAAGGCCUUCCAGUGCCCUUUGAACUGAAGGCGUACAAAGAGCUCGGAUACAGAGAUAUCUGACAGGGAACAGCUUUGGUUCUGCUCUGCUCUUGCCUUGCCCCUGUUAGACUCCAGGUUGGAUUUUGUUUCUUCCUUUCGUUCUAGGAGCCUGAUCACACCGUCUGUGCUUUGCUUAAAAGAUUCUUCUUAAAUCUGUAAUGCAGUUCAGAGCAGUCCCAGGACCUUCAGUACCACCAGAAAAACUGAAAAUAGGUGGGAAAAACUGCAACCUGGGUACAGCUCUUGAAAAAGCCACGGCAGAGCCUUGUCUUGUUGGUUUUCUAAGCUCUCUUUGUGCUCAGUGACCACAGAAAAGGUAAUUCCCACUGCACCUCUAUUUCUAGAUUCCCACUGUAAACCUGGAGUUUGUUCUUUCUUAAUUAGGACAUCCAGGCUGUAAUUGGCAUGAUUGGUAAAGCAGAUAAAAUCUGAUAAAACCUGGUAUCAGUUAAAUGCACUCACAUCACAAAUUGAGGACAGAAACCUGGAAUUUUUUACAUUAGAGUUUUUGCAGUAAAGUAGAAUAAAUCUUACUCCAUUCUGGGCUAUAUUCUGUCUGUGUUUGAGAAGUUUUUAUUGGAAAAAUAGAGCUGAUAAUUUCUGUCUGGUUUACACCUGUCUAAAUAUAUUUUCAGGUAUGUUCCUGUUAAGCAGAAAUCUUGCUAAUGAACUCCCAGUUGAGGCUCAGGCAUUAUGGCAAUGUUCUAGGUAGCAAAGAGCUCAGCUGAAUGAAGAUAAAGUAAUUUCUCGUGGAAUUACAUUUGCAGAUUGCCUCCAGUGAAUGCCAGCUGUAAAAAAUGGUAUACCCAGCACAGUAUGAGAAAUUGGUUUUAAAACUGCAGAAAAUCUUGGGAUUUCUGAACAGAGCAGUUUUGCUGCACUGAAGUUUGAGAAAAUCUUUUCAAAAAGCCUGCUAAAAAUUACAGAGAAUGUUGCUUUUAUCAUGUGAAUGUCUCUUUACCAUUUUUUCUUAUUGCUGUCUAAAUUUUCAUGUGUAUAUAACGUUUACUGUACUAGGUCCCAGUUCCUCUUUGGGAAACACACAGUUUGUAUUGCACAAAAAUGCUCUUUAAAACAUGGAGAUAAUGUUUAUCCGCUCAGGCUGCUGGAGAAUGUGUUCUGCAAUUUCAAAUAGUGUCAGUGCUCUUGCAGAAGGUGGAAUUCGGUCUGGUGUGUCAGAGAGGCUGCAAGGGGAACAGGCUUGAAUAUUGAUUAUUUGAUGCUGAAUUGCAACCCAGAAAUGUUGAAACAGCAGGUAUGCAAAACAGUGUUUUCAAAGCUAAGGUUAAGGCCAAAGUGAUUGCUCUUCCUGCUCAGGAAUGGAUUAAAUCUGAAAUUCCAACAUUAACUUCCUCUGCCCUGUGAGACUCAUCUUGGAGAAUUAAUCGGUUGGUGAUCUUUUGUUUGUUGUGCGGUGUUUUGUUUGUUUUCCCCAGUUAUCCUCCUGCACUUCCCAUCUGCGUUUGCAGAGCACACAGUAUUUGCCAUGUUCUGGACCAUUUUAUUUUCUAAGAUAAGUUGUAAAUCCAUAAGAAUCGUGGAAUGUUCCUCAUUUUAGCUUUAGUUAUCUAAGGAUAUGAGAUAGGCACAUGCUACUUUGGUUUAGACUUCUUUUUUCUUAUUUGAAUUUUUGAAUUAAAGAACAUCACGUAUAACUCAAAGUACAGAAAAAUGUUUUUUGUGUUUAGAAAUAUCUUGUUCGCAUUAGAAACUGAAUCUGAGAACACUGCCUGUAGUGCCAUAUAGUGUGCAAAAUGUGUGAUCUUUCAGGAAAAAUCUGUUUGCAGUGUUUUGGCCAUACAAGCUGGAGAGUACACAAUGGGCUGUCGUCUAGUUUAUGGCUCGAAUUUAGAGACAAGUACCACUGAAAAAUAAUUAAUUUAAAAAUGGUAAUAAAUAGGCUAAUGAAAACCCGUGUAAAGCAGCACCUCAUUAUUUUUCCUGUGGAUGAGCUUAGUCACCUUCCUGGGAAAAGAUGCCACUUCUGUUUGAUCAGCUGCUGCAGGAGGAUUCAGUGCAGCAGCAGGUCUGUGCUUCGCUAAACGGGGCUGGUGCACAUUCACAGAGGAGAAGUGAGUAUUUAGGAUUCAGCACAUCCCGUCAUCUGACAUGUUAUUAAUAUCUUCAAGUAAAAGUCAUGCCAGCACAGCAGGCUGUAGUUUCUUCCUCCCGCUGGGAAAUAGCAGCCUCCUUGUUUCCCUUGAAAGCCAGCUUACAGUUGGGCUGCAUUGUUAGGGGCUGACCAGUUACAGCCAAAGGGAUCAAAACAGGAAGCUUGGCUAUUAGCCUUCAAAUGAAACCUACUGCUUCAUUUGCUUCAUGUACUUCAUUUCCUCUGCCCCUUCUCUUCUGUUCCAGGUGUCCUAGACGAGCAGUGCCUGCCCGGGCAGCGUGGUGUGCUCGCCCUAAUGCCUUGAUAGGAAGGAAACAUCUGCCCAGUCGUGCCAUUCCCCACAUUUUGGUUACAUCAGCAAAGCUUAAAGCUAAAGAUUUGGAGAGUAAAUUUGAAAGUGGUGCUUUCAGCCUACAGCGAGGAGCAGUUCUGCAAGGUGUGCAGGACGUACAGGCUGCCCUGUGCCCAGGUAGAGCUCGCCUUGCGUCCACUCAUCUCUCUGUGAGCAAGUACAAUAACUAGGGAGGGUUUUGUGCGUCAGUGCAAUUUUCCUUAAUUUACCAAAUAUUGUAUUGUAUGGACUGCUCUGCUUUGGCUGCUUGUUCUCUUGUCCCCUUGUCUGACAAGUUACUGCAGCCUGAGCUUGGCCAGGUCUGGUGAGCAGUUCGUAAGGGGAUGUGUACGCGGGCAGAUGGCUGCGGCCAGUUUCAUACUGGUGGGCGAGCAGCAGGCCAGGGUACUGAGCGAGAGCUGGUGUGAGAUGCACGUGGAGUGGUUGGGGAAUGGGACAGGAUGUGAGUGCUUGGGCAUAUUGCUGAAUCUGCCCCUUCUAUCCACUGCAGAGGGAGUGCUUCUGUUGGGAGGAGCAGCAAAUGGGAAGAUAGCUAUUUUUUUUCAUGAAGCGGCAGGUGCCCAAGUGGAGUUCAGAACAUUGCUAUUUUAAAAAAAUAUUUAAAUAAAAUCUUCAAAAAUCGUUCAAAUUUCCCUUUCCUUCGGCCUGCUCUAUCUAAAUUGCUAAGAGAGUCUUACUUUGAGGCUUGGGAAUAGAAACAAGAUAGAAAGCGCUUUCUUGCUCCCUUCUAGUGAAAAUUACUGAAAUGUCUUUGAUGUUUCUUAGCAUAAAUGUUCAUAAAACUUCAGAGAAUAGAUCCUUAAAGUCUAUUGUUCUGUAACAUAUUUAUUCGUAGCACAAAAGCUGCAUUAAAAUAACACCAAGGGUUUAUGAAAAGUGUUCAGAGAGAAGGAUUAACCUGCUAAUCCUCGUCUCUUCGGAAAAAUGUUCCGAGUUGGCAGGACUCAUUUAAAGGAAGUUCUGACUUGUGCUCACUUGUCCACACCUUUUUUUUUCUUCCAUUUUUUUUUCCCCAAAAAUUCACCGAGCUGGUACGAGCAGGGGUAGGCAUUCCAGAGGUGUCGUGGUGCUUCAGAAUUGCUGCAUCUGUAUUCUCGUGGGGAUGCUGGACAUGAGAUGUGCGUCCUUUGCACACACCAUGAACUCAUCUGCUACAGCGUGAGUGGGAAUUCAGGUUGCUUGCAGGCCUUUUCUUUUUGACAGAAGAAGAUUAAUACAGAGGCUGCUUCUUCCAAUCCUGUUGAUAAAUACUCACCAAGGCAUCCUACAGAGAGAUCAGAUCUUGAUUGUGGAGACGUCGGGCAGCUGUGGGCUGUGAGGGUGAACCAUGGGGCUUCAGGCCAGUAGAAGGUAAUCAGCUGGAGGAAAUUUCUGAAGAACACAAGACAACAUGAAGACACUUUAUGAAGUUUUUCUUAACGUCUGAAUCUUCAAUAUAAUCGACGUUUGCCAUAAAUUUGAGAAGUGCCUGGUAGAGGAGGCAAAUCCAUGUAUUUAAGUAAAGGGGAUAUAAAACCGUACACUAAUGAAGUAAGGUGCUUCAAGUAGAUUUGCACUGCUAUGGACAUCAGAAAAUGAUCUUUAGCUUCUGAAGAGCUACAAUGGGGCUGCUUAUUUUUUCAUGGCCAUGUUUAUCAGUCUCCUGCUAUAAAAAGUGGCUCAGGUUCUUUAUUGAAAAACAUUUAGCUAAUCCUUAAAGGUAAGUUUGUACUUCCAAAUCAAUGUGCAUGCAAAAGAAUCUCAUUUCUAACACCAGUAUGACUGAGGAUUUCAACCUGUGCAUUUUCUUCACAGUCACUCUCCUCUGCAGCCUCUUGUCCCAGCUGUUGCUUGAAUACCUUUCUGGCAUUCUGCUUAGGAUUUUUUUUUUCCUUGCAGCUGUUUAUGAAGUAUUCAUUAAAUUGUCAACCAAAGCCCCUUUGGCUCCCAGUGUGUUUGCAAGUGAAUUCUAGUAGACAGCAGUUCCAGGAAGGAUGAAGGUACCCGCUCCAGGAAAGAUCAUUCCUGCAUUUCUUUUUGCGUAGAACGAUGUUUCCUUCUGCUUGCUUGCAGAAUUUCCAUGCAAAUGGUCCACUGAACAAGGCUUCUUUCUUCAAAAUGCCUUCUUACCGUUUUCUGUGGAUUUGUUUAAACUGCUAUUUCAAUUAGAUUUGAGGAAUUUGAAUGAGAUUCCUGAAGUGGAAUGCAGAAGGAUGGGGAACGCACUGCAGAUGGGAAGGAGACAGCUGUUGUCUCUUGCCACUUCAUGUAAUCAGUUUAAGACAGACCUUUUCAUACUGGAGAUUGCUUCUCUUGUCCCUGCUUUUGCAAUAGCAGUGAGGUGGGCCAGUUCUAGAUAAAAAGAACAAAUUCCUCUUUCAGCCACCUGCAGUCUUUCAAAACUGGCAAUAUCCAAUGCAUAUGAAAGACAUCCUUAAAUUUAUGUGAAUUUUUGAUCUCUUGUUAACACCGAUUUCAGGAAGUGUUAAAACAAAACCAAACAUGUUCAUUCAUCACUGUUGGAUUAAAAAGUUGGUCAGUCCUCCACCAGUCUGCAGUGUAGCAGCAAGGAAGGAAACAGCAGCCAGGUACUGUACACUAGUUGGCUGUGACUUCUAAACAAAAGAAGAAGUGAGUGGUGGAGUGACCGCUACAUACCAGAUAAGAGAAAAUAAAAUUAAUUUCCUUUGACCAGAAAAAAGAUGUGCAACUGCUGGUUAGUGUUAGGGAAUAGUUAUUCCGUUGCAAGUUCUGCUUUCCAGUCAGUCUAUUUAACAUACUAAUGUGGAAAUUCUAUCCUAGUAGGGUAAAUCACAUUAUAUGAAGUUCUAAGAUGUUGGCAUUGCACGUGUGCAUAUAAAUGUUUAAGCAAAUCUAUCACUAAGAUCCGUUUUAUUCUCUUUUAAUGUGUUCCAUAUUUGUUUGCAUUCUUUUUCAGUAGUGACUGGUUUAUUAAGGUUACAGAAAUCAAAUAUAUGCGAGAUUCUCGUGUAGUGACAGUUUAUGAAGCUGUCUUCUAUGUUUUACUCUGAAAAAUAUUAUAAAUUGAGAAGCUCUAGCUUUGAUUUUGUCUCAGGAGACUGGCACACGUGUUGAGUAGACUUCCUCUGUGGAAGAGCUAGGUGAGGAGGUUAAGUACAUUUUCUUUGUGCAGUACCCAUUAAACUUCAAUCAGAGUUACAGAAAGAAAUUUCCUUUAGGCUCAUAUGGAAACAGGUAUUGGUUUGACUUUAAUAAAAGUCAUAACUGAUCUCUGUGAGGUCUCCUGUGAAAUGAUCUCAGCAAAAUUCAGGCAAGCCUUUUGAGGGCAAAAGACUCCCUGUUAAACAUCGCAUUAUCCCGUAAUUCCAUUACAGAGCAGGCAUUCUGUUCCUUGAAAGGUCUGAAAAUGGUGACACUGGUUACUGAUGGAAGCGGAGCUAUUGGAUCUGAAAGCCACAGGCCUAUUUACAGGAACGUCCUUGUUUACAAAUAAAAGCUAGAAAUUGAGGAAGUGAUUUAAACAACACCUAGGUUGUCGUGCUGUGGCUGCUAUUUCCAUACUUAGCUGAGUUCAGUGCCGGGGCUGCUCGGACUCGAGGCAGAAGCCCUACGUGUAUUUUAAUGAGCACCGACAAGGAAGAAAUUCUUUCAUUUCUGAAGUGGACUUCAGAUGGAAUUCAGGGAAAGAGUAACAGGUGGUGGGGGAACAACACCAAAAGAAAAAAAAAAACACACAGAUGUAGAGUGCUGAAAGACAUGAAAGUCAUUGUUGUCUUGUAUUCACUCGGAAAGGUUAAUAAAUAGGUCUGCAGGUCACACGGGCUCUCGCCUUGCCCUACUUUUGUUAUUCUAAGGAUUCUGAUCACCACCAAUUUGUGACUGCAGGCAGAGCUGUGGAAGUACAAAGCGUGGAGGGAAGCGCAUAGUUUGUGCAGAAAAUGGCAGAAUUUUAAAAAGUAAGUGCUUGGUGCUUCUCUGGACGUAGGGAAGGGGGAAAUUAGGGAACCUCUCCCCAGCUGUUUUAUCCCGUUAUAUCAGAGAGAUGGUGAGGACGUUGCUCAAUAGCCUUUUCUACUGUCCUGUCCAACAUUGCUUAGGAACGAUUUUAAAAAACUGAAUUAAUCUAGAUUUUAAAAGUUAAGUCUGAAAAUGAUUCCCAUUUUCAUUGACUUCUCUGUUGUUCCUGUGAGAGGACAUGAAAAUUGUACGGAGCUGUGUGUUCUGUCGUCCAUCCAUCUCUGGAAAGUCUGUUCUCUCCCGAAGAAACCCGAAAACG